GCUCUGGUGACGCAAUGGUAAAGUGCUUGGCUUCUAACCAAAAGGUUGAUGGUUCGAACCCAACUAGUGGCU
rnacentral:tRNA from 1 species